rnacentral:tRNA from 1 species
CCUCUCAUGGCGUAGUGGUUAACGCCGCCCCAACUAGAGAUCGGGGAGUCGUGAGUUCGAUUCUCACUGAGAAGA